rnacentral:rRNA from 1 species
AUUAUUAAUUUAUUUACUUUAUGUUAAUGUUUUUGAAGUUUUUAAAAAAAUCAUUUAAUUGUUAUUGUAUUAGUUUAAGAUUUAAUUGUUUUGGUUAUAGUUUAUUUUUACUGUGAAGGGUAAUUUGAGAUAAUAUAUUUAAGUUUUAAUAAGUAUAAUUUGUUUUUUGUACCUUGUGUAUCAGGGAUUAUUAAUAAUUUAAUAUUAAUUUUAUUUAUCUCGAUUUGGGAAGAGUUAAUUAGAAAUAUUUAGUUAUUGUUUCAUAAUUAUUAAUAAUUUUUAAUUAGUAAUGAAAUGUUAGUCGUUUUCUAUUAUAUCUAGUUUUUCAGGAAAUAAAUUCAAUUUAUAUUUUUUCUUUAAUUUUUUAAAAUUAAUUCUUUUAAGUUAAAAUGAAUAUUUAGGGGGACAAGCUCUUGGAUAAAUUUUUAUAAGUUUAUAAAUUUAUAAAUUUUUGUGGAUUUAGAAUUGAUCAUCAAUUUAAGUAUGUUAAAAUUUAUUUUUAUUUAAUUUUUUAUUUUAUUUUCUUUAAUUUUUUACUGAAUAAUUAAAAUUAAUUUUUUGUUUUUAAUAAUAAUGAUUGUAUUAGUAAAUGAAUUUUUAUUGUGAUUUUAUAUUGUUAAUUAAUUUUGAGGAACUAGGCAAAAUAUUUAUAUUCGCUUGUUUAUCAAAAACAUCUUUUCUUGUUUAAAUAUGAAGUAUAGCCUGCCCAAUGAUUUAAUUGAAUGGCCGCGGUAUUUUGACCGUGCAAAGGUAGCAUAAUCAUUAGUCUUUUAAUUGAAGGCUGGAAUGAAAGGCUGGACGAGAUAUAAACUGUCUUGAAUAUAUAAUUUGAAAUUAAUUUUUAAGUUAAAAAGCUUAAAUUUUUUAUUGGGACGAGAAGACCCUAUAGAGUUUUAUAAUUAUUUUUAUUUAAUAAUUUUGUUAAGUGUAUUGGUUGAAAAUAAUUAAUUUAUUGGGGUGAUAGUAAGGUAAAUUUAACCCUUAUUUAUGAUUAACAUUAAUAAAUGAUUUAUUGAUCCAUGUUUGUUGAUUAUAAGACUAAAUUACCUUAGGGAUAACAGCGUAAUCUUUUUUGAGAGUUCAUAUCGACAAAAGGGGUUGCGACCUCGAUGUUGGAUUAAGAGUAUAUUUAGGUGUAGAAGCUUAAAUUUUAGGUCUGUUCGACCUUUAAAUUCUUACAUGAUCUGAGUUCAAACCGGCGUGAGCCAGGUUGGUUUCUAUCUAAUAAAAUGUUAAAUAUCUUAGUACGAAAGGACCAGGUAUUUGAAAUAAUUUCUUAUUAAUGAUUAAUAUUAAU